AGUUUAUAUUGUACUUGUGCUAAGUGUGUUACGAAUUCGUUUCUUCUUCUUCUUCUUAAUUACUGCUCCUUGGCCUGUCUUUAUCUUUUUUAUGUUAUCAUUUGUUAGGGUUUACAGAUUAAAGAGUUAGCGUUCAAAUUGGUAGGCACGGUGGCAGAUGCAAACCCUAACUGGGGCUGCAGGGCAGAAAUAUGGUUUGGGAUGAACUCUUGGACCAAGGAUUUAUCUUUGCUAUGUUAGCAUUUUGUUAGGCUUUACAGAUUAAAGAGUUAGCAUUCAAAUGGUAGGCACGGUGGCAGAUGCAAACCCUAACUGGGGCUGUAGGGGCACAAAUCUGGUUUGGGAUGAAUUUUUGGACCAAUCGGGUUUUCGUAACUGGUCUGAAUUAUGCCGUACCGAUACACCGGGCUUACGUUGGUAUCACCGGGAAAAAUAAAUUACAUACUCAUUGGUAUGACCUAGAUGGUCCGGUGCUGGUUGUCGAUUGGACCAGAUAUCAGUUGGUACGUACUGGUCCAACCGGUCUUUGAUCCCUUAUUCUGAACUUGUAUAGGUGCUUGUUGUCAUUAUUAUCUGUGCUUCUAUAGGUGCACCCCUGUAAACAAGUUUGACUUGACGUAAGUAACCAAAAUAUCUUUGGUUUCGGAUAAUUAUAAAUCAGAUCAGAAGUUAUUCCAUGUAUCAACUCUUACAUAUCCAAAAUAUCUUCUCAUCUUGCCAUCUACUUCUACUGAUCUUACUAUUGCUGCUGAAUGUUAGUAAUUUGAAAUGGGUUGAUAAAUAUGCCAAGGUAGCUUUUUUUUUUAAUGUGCCUAUAACAUGUAAUCAAUUUUCUUAAAAUACAUUAUUAAAAAGUAUAAAAUUCACCUUUUUCUCAUUAGGAGCCAAGAAACCACAAUAAUCUCAGUUAAGUUUGAAAAUUCUAUAUUUUCUCUCUUGGGAGUUGGUUUCUUGUUUGUAGUUAGUCCCGUUGAUGAUGAUUGGUGGUUCUUCAUCAUUGUGAAUUUCCCGUUCUUUCAUCUAGAUAUUAGCAAAAAGCAGGGAGCUAAAGUCAGUUUCUUUCAGCCCCGAGCAAUCAUACAUCAAUUCAAUGAAUUUUUGUGUCAAAGAUGUUGAGGAUGACAACCUUGACAACAAUUGUCCAUCUCGGUCACAAAACAAAAUGACAUCUGGAAUAAGUGAUGAAGAUGGCAGCCACAAAGGGGACUAAGGAGCUCAUUACCUGGCACCGAGCAUGAGAGUGUGAACAAAAAAGGCCUGCAGUUAUAUGCAAUUUUUUUUGCUAGUGUUUGGUGCAUCAAGGAAAAUUCUUGUAAGUUUCUUCACGAGAAAGAUGGGGUUGGCUGCACUUGUCAAGUUGCCAAGGAAGAUUGGGCUACUAGUGGAGAUUUCAUUGAUUGCAAGGUAUCAGAAUAUCUUUCGCUGUGGAAUUUCGUCUUAAAGAUUAGUUGGAGGAAAACUUGCCAGUAGCAUCCACGUAAUUACCAGGUUCACCAGAAAAGUUUGAAAAAAUAAGUGUAUCUGCUUCACUUGGCUUGAUAGACUUAUCAAAUGUGGAGAAUUCAAGAAAAUCAAAUCUUCUUUUACAGAGGUCCCUUAUCCGGACCUGUGGUGGGGAGAUCCAUGGACUAGCUCAGUUUAGGAAUGAUGAUAACUUGCUUGCAUCAAAGAACUCUUCUAAAGAACAUUUUCAAGUUGAUGUUUCAUGCGGCAAUAGGACAUCUUAUUCUGCAGUUGAUAAGUCAAAGCAGAGGAUGUUGAUCCAAGAAGAAAACCAAAGAACUUAUGGGCUAAUACAUUGUCUUGAUUCUAUCAAUGGUAGUCACUCAGAUAGUAGUUAAUUUCUAUCAAGACAGUACUCAAAUGAAGGAAAUAUAUACAAAAAAAAUGACUGGUGUAGAGUUCAAGAACUUUGCCUUUCACAAAAUACCUGUUAUCUUCAGGAUCUAAUUAUUUCUCUGGUGGAUCAUCUGCAGCCCCCAAUGUCUAUAAGGAUAUCAACAACACCUAUUCUUUUGGAAAAAGUCCAGGUAACAGCAAAGUCAUUUUCCACUUGAUGAUUCCUAUAGUUCUGGUUUAACUAGUUCUGUCAGUUUUAGCUUUGACAAUUCUCUUCAUUCAUUUUGGAGUACACCACGAAUGGAAUUGCUUCAUUUAUUUUCUGAAGCAGGGAUAAUGUUAACUUAUGUCUCUCCACCAUUUGGUGCUGACCAUGGUGAUACCCAUGGAACAUCAAACGUUGGUUGAGGAUUUGGUGGUGCUACAUCUGGACAGCAAAAUAUUGCUGGGAAUACUUUUAACCUUUUCUGAGCAAAAACCAGAACUUGAAAAAAAUACUUGGGAGCCUUCUGUACCUUUUCAUCACCAGUGAUUAAAUCAUCCUCUGAAAGCCAAUAUGAUCCACUUGUUGACAGCAUUGGACCUCCCAAAGUGGGGAUUUUAACUUCAGUUUCUCCAAGAGUGAUUAUGAAAACUAUGUCAAGUCAACAUGUUCUUGGUGAUCAUAUACUAGGUUAUAUUGCUUCAGGGUAUAAUGUCAAGAAGUCUUUGAACUCUUCCGAUCCAGGAUAUGAAGGCAUGCUAGGUAAAUCAUGGCAUGAAUAUUGUGGCUAUUUUAAUGGAAUGGCUCCUCCUGAUCGUACAACUGUUGAUGAGGAAGGUCAGACAGACCUUAGUAGUAAUACAAAUCUUUCAUACUGCUUUGGUGGAUUUUGUGAAGGAAGAGUAGACAAAGGAGAAGACAAAGGAGAAUACAAAUCUUUCAUACAAAUCUUGACGAGGAAGAGUAGACAAAGGAGAAGACGUUAAGGAAUCAAAAGCAGUGAAAAUUUUUCAUACUGCUUUGGUGGAUUUUGUGAAGGAAUUGCUAAAGACAAUUUGGAAGGAGGGUCACUCGAGUAGGGAUGCUCAUAAAAUGAUAGUCAAGAAGGCAGCUGAAAAGGUUCUAAAUGCAUUGCAACCCCAUCAUGUCCCAAUUGAUAGAGUUGAUAAAGGAUCAUCUUUCGGCAUCCAAACCAAAUCUUUAAAAGGUUAUGGAGGGUUAUGUAAUCAAUCUCUGUAGGACUUCAGUUUUGCACACAAAUAUCUGCUCAUGGAUCUAACCUAAAUGUUUGGUGGGCCUACUUAAAACUACUUCGUAAAAAGUUCUCCAAGAUUAUUGGCAUGGUGCAAGCCUGUCACUGGAUAGCAUUUCUUCUGUUAGUGAUGGGGAGAUAUCAUCUUGGUUUUUGUUACAGCUGAGCCCAGAACAUGAACUACUCUCCGCAGCAGCAGCAGCAGCAGCUAACAGCAACUCGGGUUUGA